AAGUCGUAACAAGGUAACCGUAGGUGAACCUGCGGUUGGAUCAUUAAUGAAUUAUUAAUUGAUUGCCUCCUAGUCGCAAGGCUGGAGCAUUCUUUUAACACUUUGUGAACUUUAAUAUUGUCUUGUCUUUUGGCGAUGUUUUGGGGUGGAGGGAGGUGAAAAUUCAUAUUCUCACUUCUUAUUUCACUUUUGUUGAUUUUCUCUUAUUUUUGGGGGGAAUUCACCUUGAGUGGAGAAUUAGUCAAUUUAUUCUUAGCGAUAAGGAUUUCUUGGCAGUACCACUUCGACCGCCAACUGACGCUAAAAUUUAAACUUUUAAUUAUAAAACUACAAGUCUAAAAAACAAAAAAGAAAUUUUUUAAAAAAUAAAUUAAAAAACAACUUUUGACAACGGAUCUCUAGGCUCUCA
rnacentral:misc_RNA from 1 species